rnacentral:rRNA from 1 species
UACGGGGGGAGCAAGCGUUGUUCGGAUUUACUGGGCGUAAAGGGCGCGUAGGCGGUCGUGACAAGUCACUUGUGAAAUCUCCGGGCUUAACUCGGAACGGUCAAGUGAUACUGUCGGACUAGAGUACAGAAGGGGCAACUGGAAUUCUCGGUGUAGCGGUGAAAUGCGCAGAUAUCAGGAGGAACACCGGUGGCGAAGGCGGGUCUCUGGGCAACAACUGACGCUGAGGAGCGAAAGCGUGGGGAGCGAACAGG